AACGAACGCUGGCGGCAGGCUUAACACAUGCAAGUCGAACGCGUGCAGCAAUGCACGAGUGGCGCACGGGUGAGUAACGCGUGGAUAUCUGCCUUUUGGUUCGGAAUAACCCCGGGAAACUGGGGCUAAUACCGGAUGGUUCCUUCGGGAUAAAGAUUUAUCGCCAAAAGAUGAGUCCGCGUACGAUUAGCUAGUUGGUGAGGUAAUGGCUCACCAAGGCGACGAUCGUUAGCUGGUCUGAGAGGACGAUCAGCCACACUGGGACUGAGACACGGCCCAGACUCCUACGGGAGGCAGCAGUGGGGAAUAUUGGACAAUGGGGGCAACCCUGAUCCAGCCAUGCCGCGUGAGUGAUGAAGGCCUUCGGGUUGUAAAGCUCUUUUGGCGGGGACGAUGAUGACGGUACCCGCAGAAUAAGCCCCGGCUAACUUCGUGCCAGCCGCCGCCGUAA
rnacentral:rRNA from 1 species